rnacentral:piRNA from 1 species
UGACCAAACAGAAGAUGGUGCGAAGUUGC